GAUGAACGCUGGCGGCGUGCCUAAUACAUGCAAGUCGAACGCGCAGCGAGAGGUGCUUGCACCUUUCAAGCGAGUGGCGAACGGGUGAGUAACACGUGGAUAACCUGCCUCAAGGCUGGGGAUAACAUUUGGAAACAGAUGCUAAUACCGAAUAAAACUUAGUAUCGCAUGAUAUCAAGUUAAAAGGCGCUACGGCGUCACCUAGAGAUGGAUCCGCGGUGCAUUAGUUAGUUGGUGGGGUAAAGGCUUACCAAGACGAUGAUGCAUAGCCGAGUUGAGAGACUGAUCGGCCACAUUGGGACUGAGACACGGCCCAAACUCCUACGGGAGGCUGCAGUAGGGAAUCUUCCACAAUGGGCGCAAGCCCGAUGGAGCAACGCCGCGUGUGUGAUGAAGGCUUUCGGGUCGUAAAGCACUGUUGUAUGGGAAGAAAUGCUAAAAUAGGGAAUGAUUUUAGUUUGACGGUACCAUACCAGAAAGGGACGUCUAAAUACGUGCCAGCCGCCGCAGUAA
rnacentral:rRNA from 1 species